AGUAGUUAGACUCUACUAUUNAGGG
rnacentral:tRNA from 1 species